rnacentral:rRNA from 1 species
CUAAUACCGCAUAUACUCUUGCUACACAAGCAGAGGAGAGGAAAGGAGUAAUCCGCUUUACGAUGAGCCUGCGGCCUAUUAGCCUGUUGGUAGGGUAACGGCCUACCAAAGCUACGAUAGGUAGCCGACCUGAGAGGGUGACCGGCCACAUUGGGACUGAGAUACGGCCCAGACUCCUACGGGAGGCAGCAGCUGAGAAUCUUCCACAAUGGACGAAAGUCUGAUGGAGCGACAUCGCGUGAGGGAUGAAGGCCUUCGGGUUGUAAACCUCGGAAAUUAUCGAAGAAUGAGUGACAGUAGAUAAUGUAAGCCUCGGCUAACUACGUGCCAGCAGCCGCGGUAAUACGUAGGAGGCAAACGUUGCUCGGAUUUACUGGGCGUAAAGGGUGAGUAGGCGGACUUAUAAGUCUAAGGUGAAAGACCGGAGCUCAACUUCGGGAACGCCUCGGAUACUGUAAGUCUUGGAUAUUGUAGGGGAUGAUGGAAUUCUCGGUGUAGCGGUGGAAUGCGCAGAUAUCGAGAGGAACACCUAUAGCGAAGGCAGUCAUCUGGGCAUUUAUCGACGCUGAAUCACGAAAGCUAGGGGAGCAAACAGGCUUAGAUACCCUGGUAGUCCUAGCCGUAAACGUUGUACACUAGGUGCUUCUAUUUAAAUAGGAGUGCCGUAGCUAACGUCUUAAGUGUACCGCCUGAGGAGUAUGCCCGCAAGGGUGAAACUCAAAGAAAUUGACGGGUCCCCGCACAAGUGGUGGAGCAUGUGGUUUAAUUCGAUGAUACGCGAAAAACCUUACCUGGGUUUGAAUUGUAAGAUGAAUGAUUUAGAGAUAAGUCAGACCGCAAGGACGUUUUACAUAGGUGCUGCAUGGCUGUCGUCAGCUCGUGUCGUGAGAUGUUGGGUUAAGUCCCGCAACGAGCGCAACCCUCACCCUUUGUUGCUACCGAGUAAUGUCGGGCACUCUUAGGGGACUGCCUACGUUCAAGUAGGAGGAAGGUGGGGAUGAUGUCAAGUCCUCAUGGCCCUUAUGUCCAGGGCUACACACGUGCUACAAUGGCAAGUACAAAGAGAAGCGAGACCGCGAGGUGGAGCAAAACUCAAAAAAGUUGCCUCAGUUCGGAUUGGAGUCUGAAACUCGACUCCAUGAAGUUGGAAUCACUAGUAAUCGUAGAUCAGAACGCUACGG